rnacentral:rRNA from 1 species
CCAGACUCCUACGGGAGGCAGCAGUGGGGAAUAUUGCACAAUGGGGGAAACCCUGAUGCAGCGACGCCGCGUGAAGGAUGAAGUAUUUCGGUAUGUAGACUUCUAUCAGCAGGGAAGAAAAUGACGGUACCUGACUAAGAAGCCCCGGCUAACUACGUGCCAGCAGCCGCGGUAAUACGUAGGGGGCAAGCGUUAUCCGGAUUUACUGGGUGUAAAGGGAGCGUAGACGGCAUGGCAAGUCUGAUGUGAAAACCCGGGGCUCAACCCCGGGACUGCAUUGGAAACUGUCAGGCUGGAGUGUCGGAGAGGCAAGUGGAAUUCCUAGUGUAGCGGUGAAAUGCGUAGAUAUUAGGAGGAACACCAGUGGCGAAGGCGGCUUGCUGGACGAUGACUGACGUUGAGGCUCGAAAGCGUGGGGAGCAAACAGGAUUAGAUCCCCGCGUA